CGUGGGUAACCUGCCCAAGAGAUCGGGAUAACACCUGGAAACAGAUGCUAAUACCGGAUAACAACAGAUGAUGCCUAUCAACUGUUUAAAAGAUGGUUCUGCUAUCACUCUUGGAUGGACCUGCGGUGCAUUAGCUAGUUGGUAGGGUAACGGCCUACCAAGGCGAUGAUGCAUAGCCGAGUUGAGAGACUGAUCGGCCACAUUGGGACUGAGACACGGCCCAAACUCCUACGGAGGCAGCAGCC
rnacentral:rRNA from 1 species